AUAUGAUUUAUUUUUAUUUUUUUAUUUAUUUUUUUAACAUUUCAUUUAGUUUUUGGUAGUGAAAUAUUUGAUGAUUUUAGUCUACUCUAUAUAAAAAAACAAACAAAACAUGAAAAUGCAAAAGAAAAGCACACAGGACGUGAAUAACUAGGCCACAUUAUUAAUGCUGAUGCAGCUUAGGCUUUUUAAAGUAGGUGCAUAAUUGAAAUGCUCCGAUUGUAAACAUCUACUUUUAGAUGGGUUGCAUAAGUGCACAUCAAUAACAGUCGGUGGAUGAAGAUGAUGCCACCGCUGAAGAACGAGCUGCUGCUGCAGUAGAUGUGGAUUAUGUGUCUCCGCUCAUUACAACCGAAUGGAAUGCACCCUCUGGCUAACCUACAGGACGCUUUUGCUUUUUAAAACACGAGACGAGAUCUUGAAACACUAUCGUUUCUCAGAGAGCCACUAAUGCGUUUGAGUUUUCCUCUGCUUCAAGCCUCCUGUGUCCGGAGUCUGUCCUGCAGGGAUGGAGGGACGUGUCCAGGGAUUUCCCAACAUUUCUGCCGUGUUAUCGGAUAGCACUCGGAAUAAUAAUCCUCCGGAUAUCUGCAGCUGUGAAGCCCUCGAAAGCAAAUCAUCUGGCGAUCAGAAAAGCGUGAUGAAGAGUGAAGUAUCCCAGCUUCCCCAGCGCCGGGGUCUAAUCCAGGGGCCUAUUCUGAGUGCUGAUGUCAACAAAUCCGUUACGGGCCGGGGAAUGUGGGAAUGCUGGAGCAGGUGAUGUCACCGAGUGCUUUGGUUCGAGGCGGCGCCUGUCAGUGGAUCGUAUAUCUGGGGCUUGUUGUCACGGUGUUCUACAGAAUCACAGACUGCAGACUCUGGAGGGUUAACGCUUAGCUUUGAGUCAGGUGAUUUGUUGUGCUUAGCUUUGAGUCAGGUGAUUUGUUGUGAUUAAUUGCUAAUGCUUUUAUCACGGUAUUGAAAUGUAAUUACAACAAAGUGUUCUUAACACUUUCACUGACUUUUACAUUAACUGUUCCCUCCUGGUGGAAUGACCUGCACAACUCAAUCCCAGCAGCUGAGUCCUUAACCAUCUUCAAGAAUCGGCUAAAAACAUAUCUCUCCCAUCUUUAUUAUAAAACUGAUAGUUCCGCUCCUUGAUUCUGAUUGGUUGAGGCACGUUCAAAGCUGUUGUAAAUUACUCUACAAAGUAACAUACACCUUUGUUUACUUCUGUGUGUUGCCCGGCAACCACUUUCUUGGAACCACAACUGUUUCAGAGGAACUACAUUGUUUGGUGGAAGAAUACUGUUUUUAUUUAUAUCAUUACACUUUAUUUGCUCUGUUUAAUUCUGUGAAACCUUACUACGUAUAUGGAAUUACCGUUUUAUAAAAGCAAUAAGCCCCGUGGUUUACAGUGAAUUUAUAACAGCUAACUCCGCUUCGCGUCAUGCCUAACAACGCCCCUCAGCUGUUAUAGAUUCACUGUAAACCAGGGCUUCAUGGGACUUAUUGCUUUAUUUGACCCUCCAACUCUAGCACUCUCUAUUCUAAUUCUGUUCUUUGAAAAAAAAAAUCCCUUUUAGACUUGCACUGCUUGUUUUCUUUUAAAAUAACUAAAACUAGCUUCUCUAAUCUUUUUGUAUUCUAUCUAUUUGUUUUCUUUUUAUUUAUUAUAAAAUUAACAUUAUAAAAUUAGGCCUCUAACACUAGCUUGCUCUAUUCUUUUUCUAUAUAAUUUAAAAAAAAUGUUAAGUAAUGGAACUGAGUCUUGUUAUAGCACUUUCAUAUCAUUUCUCUUUUGUUGAUUUUGAUUGCUUUGUCCUCAUUUGUAAGUCACUUUGGAUAAAAGCGUCUGCUAAAUGACUAAAUGUAAUGUAAAUGUACUGCAGCAUAACAGGUUUAACAGUUUUUUUUUCUUAUAACAAAAGGAACUGAACAUUUAAAUACAACAAAGC
rnacentral:lncRNA from 1 species